rnacentral:rRNA from 1 species
UACGGAGGGUGCAAGCGUCAUCCGGAUUCACUGGGUUUAAAGGGUGCGUAGGUGGGUUGGUAAGUCAGUGGUGAAAUCUCCAGGCUUAACUUGGAAACUGCCAUUGAUACUAUCAAUCUUGAAUACCGUGGAGGUCAGCGGAAUAUGUCAUGUAGCGGUGAAAUGCUUAGAUAUGACAUAGAACACCAAUUGCGAAGGCAGCUGGCUACACGAAUAUUGACACUGAUGCACGAAAGCGUGGGGAUCAAACAGG